rnacentral:rRNA from 1 species
GAUGAACGCUGGCGGCGUGCCUAAUACAUGCAAGUCGAGCGAACGGACGAGAAGCUUGCUUCUCUGAUGUUAGCGGCGGACGGGUGAGUAACACGUGGAUAACCUACCUAUAAGACUGGGAUAACUUCGGGAAACCGGAGCUAAUACCGGAUAAUAUUUUGAACCGCAUGGUUCAAAAGUGAAAGACGGUCUUGCUGUCACUUAUAGAUGGAUCCGCGCUGCAUUAGCUAGUUGGUAAGGUAACGGCUUACCAAGGCAACGAUGCAUAGACGACCUGAGAGGGUGAUCGGCCACACGGGAACUUAGACACGGUCCAGACUCCUACGGGAGGCAGCAGUAGGGAAUCUUCCGCAAUGGGCGAAAGCCUGACGGAGCAACGCCGCGUGAGUGAUGAAGGUCUUCGGAUCGUAAAACUCUGUUAUUAGGGAAGAACAUAUGUGUAAGUAACUGUGCACAUCUUGACGGUACCUAAUCAGAAAGCCACGGCUAACUACGUG